UUUAGAUAUAAAUUAAUUUAACUUAGGUAGUAUUAGUUAAGGUCUUGAAACUUAAAGAAUUUGGCGGUAUUUUAGUCUAUUUAGAGGAAUCUGUCCCUUAAUCGAUAAUCCACGUUGUACCUUUCCAAAUUUAUUGUAUGUAUACCGCCGUUAUUGAAAAUCUUUUUAGAGUAAAUAAUUUUCUAUUUAUAUUUUUAAAUUUUAUUUCAGGUCAAGGUGCAGUUAUAAUUUGGUGGAGAUGGAUUACAAUUAUAUUAUAUAUUGGAUUAUUAUUUGUAAAUUUAAUAUGAAAUUGGAUUUAAUAGUAAUUUUUUGUAGAUUAUAAAGAUGAUUAUAGCUCUAUAAUAUGU
rnacentral:rRNA from 1 species